ensembl:lncRNA
AUGAGCCAUGCCAUGCAGGGCCACCCAAGACAGAUGGGUCAUAGUGAAGAGUUCUGACAAAACAUGGUCCAUUGCAGAAGGAAAUGGCAACUGAGUCCAGUAUUUGUGUCUGGAGAACCCCAUGGGCAGUAUGAAAAGGCAAAAAUAUAUGACAUCAGAAGAUGAGCUCCCCAGGGUGAGUGGUGCAAGAGAGUGACUACAAGCACCCUGCUACUACUACUGCUGCUGCUAAGUCGAUUCAGUUGUCUCCGACUCUGUGCAACCCCAUAGACGGCAGGCCACCAGGCUCUGCCGUCCCUGGGAUUCUCCAGGCAAGAACACUGGGGGUUCAGCUCAGAUUUGCUUCUGCUAUGAAGAUGCCCUGAUGGCCCUCAUACACCAGGUGAUCCCUUCCUCUGUGGCCUCCCACAUCAUAUUCAUUGACCCGAGAAUGCACUCCUUAGGUUGCAUAAGGUGUCUUUG